rnacentral:rRNA from 1 species
CAGUCGUACUUAUGAGUAAUCAGCCUUUUGGGUGUGAUUUUGUGGAGUGUGAGGAGUUAAACGCCUUCAUGCCUGCAUAUUCGUGCACUUUGGGUGUACUUUCCAGUCAAUGGGUCAGCAUCAGUUUUGACUGCUGG